UAAACUACACACUAUUGUUACCGAUUCCUGUCGGUUCUGUCUAGUCCCUACAGUUUCCAACCGGAUUCCCGCCGUACGAGGUUUUUUACGUUAGAAAUCCGCAAAAAUCGGUGUGUGGUUUUAGAGCGGGUUCCGGCGUCAGUCUCGCUUCCGCGGGUAUUAUCUCAGUUUCGGAUCCGUGAUCCGGAUACCCGCGGCGCGGUUGAAGAUGAGUACUGCGAUUUUUUUUUUUUUGAAUUUCGUUGAUUUACUUUAAUUUGAGAGAUAUUUUGGUAAUUUUAUAUGAAAACAAGUUUAAUAUUAUUGUAGAUACAAAUAUAAACCCGCAGCACGAAUUUCCGGUUUCGCUUAACUCAUUUUCUCUCCUUCGCGAGAUCGGUACGGGCCUCGGGUAAAAACGUCUAUUCAUGGCACCGUCGCGAAAACUGGGUUGAAGUUGGAUUUCCUCUUAUGGUUCACUUCCACGAAGCAGUUUGGAAGGAGGGUCGUAGAGUUACAGCCAGAUCAUGUUGGGCAAUACUGUGGGGUGGGUGGUUCGAUGAUGCAAGAACCGUGAGAAAUUAGAAGCAUGAAGGAAUUUGCCAGACAGGUCUUGAAUCCCCGCACAUUAUCUACGCAAUGACAGUUCAAGCUGUAGUGGCAACCAGACGAGAAACUUACACAACAAAACAAGAAGCAAACGCCAUUACUCUUCAAAUUAGGCUGAGCGAGCUGGAGGCUGUAGGGGUGAAUCUCAGAAGGAAUGGUGGCGAGCUGAAGAACACUGCUCGGUUGCUCGCCGU